rnacentral:rRNA from 2 species
UAGCUCGAUUGAUUUACUUUG